CGCCGGACCUGACUGCUAUCGGAUUGAUACUAAGCCAUGCGAGUCAUUGUAGCAAUACAAGGCAUACGGCUCAGUAACGCGUAGUCAACCUAACCUAUGGACGGGAAUAACCUCGGGAAACUGAGAAUAAUGCCCGAUAGAACAUUAUGCCUGGAAUGGUUUAUGUUCCAAAUGAUUUAUCGCCGUAGGAUGGGAUUGCGGCCUAUCAGUUUGUUGGUGAGGUAAUGGCCCACCAAGACUAUUACAGGUACGGGCUCUGAGAGGAGUAGCCCGGAGAUGGGUACUGAGACACAGACCCAGGCCCUAUGGGGCGCAGCAGGCGAGAAAACUUUGCAAUGUGCGAAAGCACGACAAGGUUAAUCCGAGUGGUUUCUGCUAAAGAAACCUUUUGUCAGUCCUAGAAACACUGAUGAAUAAGGGGUGGGCAAGUUCUGGUGUCAGCA
rnacentral:rRNA from 1 species